UCAGAGAGCAACAGGUGGGAUGCUGAAAUCUGUUGUUACCUAAUCUCUAUAGGCAAUCAUAAACUUAAGAUUGUUACGUGUGUUUUCUUGGCCAGAGUAGCUGAACAUUCAGGACUGCUUACUUCUCAACAGAGUGCUUCCAGGAAAAUUACUGAAACUAUGCUACUAUUAUUGGAGUGUUAUUGUUUGUCUUUCAUUCUCCAAGAGGAAGAUGACAUCAAGAGGUCAUGUGAAGACUUAAUUGAAUUUAUGUGAAGAUAACUGAGACUGAGAGAAGUAAAAUGACUUGACGCUGGUGGCAAAAUUGGUGUUGGCCCAUGUUUACUGAUACAUUAUUAAUAAAAACUACAAUGAUGACAAUACUAGCAAUACUUCAUAUGUAUCAUUUGAGUGAGGCAUCUUUGGCAUUGUGAGUCCCUCGGAAAGCAAAAUCAGAGCCACUUUUCCCUAAUCGAUGCGGGGAAACAUGACAUGUCCCAGCAGCCUGGAGGCUGAUGAGCAACACAGAGAGGAAAAACUUGAAUCGCAUUGCUUCUUUUUCUUAUUCUGUAAAGAACAGGGACCAGAAGAGUAGAAAAACCUGAGAGAGAAGAACAUGAAGGCUAAAGUUGGGUCAUUCUGGAAAUUCACAGAGCUGAAAGGCACAGAAGCCCAGAGAAGGGAAGUAAACAACUAUUUCAUUUUACAAAUGAGGAAAAUAAGACUCAAAAAGGAGAAGUCAUUUUUCUUAAGUUUACAUAACAAAUAAGAGGUAGAGCUGGGACCUGAUCCUAAGUCUUCCUACUUGUAAUUCAGGGUUCUUUCCAUUGUAUACCACACUUCAUGGUCAAUGGGGUCAAAGCCUAGGGCACAACCUGACUCUUAGGAAGGACUUCUCUCUGGUGGGAGUUGGGGUGGGGAUUAUGGAAGUGAAAUACAAAUCCCUCCUCCCCUACUCCUCAUCUUCCCACCUACCCCCACCCUGAAUCCCUCCUUUUUGAUUAGUGUCUUUGUUUCAAUUACCAUCAAGAGCUUGUGUCCUUCUCCCUUGUGUGACUACCCAGAAACCAGAGCACAGGACCCUAGAAAAGACAAGACCAGUUCUUGUCUUUUUCUUUCUGCUGACUCAUGUGUUUAUAAAAACCUAACAGAACUCAGCUUGAUGAAAAUGUUUUUGCCAGAAUUACUUGAAGUGUUUACAAACCAAAUCUGAAACCUCCCUAGCUACAGGCUCUGAAGGGAAGACAGAGCUCCUGCUCAAAGUUCUGAGUCAUCACUAUAGGCAGAAAAGAUCCUAUGUACAACAUGCAUUGUUGCCAGAACUCAGUGUACAUUGAGGCAGAAUCUCCAUUCUUUUGGUU